rnacentral:rRNA from 1 species
CGCUAUCACUCCUACGGGAGGCAGCAGUAGGGAAUCUUCCACAAUGGGCGCAAGCCUGAUGGAGCAACACCGCGUGAGUGAAGAAGGGUUUCGGCUCGUAAAGCUCUGUUGUUAAAGAAGAACACGUAUGAGAGUAACUGUUCAUACGUUGACGGUAUUUAACCAGAAAGUCACGGCUAACUACGUGCCAGCGGCCGCGGUAAUACGUAGGUGGCAAGCGUUAUCCGGAUUUAUUGGGCGUAAAGAGAGUGCAGGCGGUUUCUAAGUCUGAUGUGAAAGCCUUCGGCUUAACCGGAAAAGUGCAUCGGAAACUGGAUAACUUGAGUGCAGAAGAGGGUAGUGGAACUCCAUGUGUAGCGGUGGAAUGCGUAGAUAUAUGGAAGAACACCAGUGGCGAAGGCGGCUACCUGGUCUGCAACUGACGCUGAGACUCGAAAGCAUGGGUAGCGAACAGGAUUAGAUACCCUGGUAG